rnacentral:rRNA from 1 species
CAGCCGCCGCGGUAAUACGUAGGGGGCAAGCGUUGUCCGGAAUUAUUGGGCGUAAAGCGCGCGCAGGCGGUCCUUUAAGUCUGAUGUGAAAGCCCACGGCUUAACCGUGGAGGGUCAUUGGAAACUGGAGGACUUGAGUACAGAAGAGGAGAGUGGAAUUCCACGUGUAGCGGUGAAAUGCGUAGAGAUGUGGAGGAACACCAGUGGCGAAGGCGACUCUCUGGUCUGUAACUGACGCUGAGGCGCGAAAGCGUGGGGAGCGAACAGGAUUAGAUACCCUGGUAGUCCACGCCGUAAACGAUGAGUGCUAGGUGUUAGGGGGUUUCCGCCCCUUAGUGCUGAAGUUAACGCAUUAAGCACUCCGCCUGGGGAGUACGGCCGCAAGGCUGAAACUCAAAAGAAUUGACGGGGGCCCGCACAAGCGGUGGAGCAUGUGGUUUAAUUCGACGCAACGCGAAGAACCUUACCAGGUCUUGACAUCCUCUGCAAUCGGUAGAGAUACCGAGUUCCCUUCGGGGACAGAGUGACAGGUGGUGCAUGGUUGUCGUCAGCUCGUGUCGUGAGAUGUUGGGUUAAGUCCCGCAACGAGCGCAACCCUUGAUCUUAGUUGCCAGCAUUAAGUUGGGCACUCUAAGGUGACUGCCGGUGACAAACCGGAGGAAGGUGGGGAUGACGUCAAAUCAUCAUGCCCCUUAUGACCUGGGCUACACACGUGCUACAAUGGAUGGAACAAAGGGCAGCGAAACCGCGAGGUCAAGCAAAUCCCAUAAAACCAUUCUCAGUUCGGAUUGCAGGCUGCAACUCGCCUGCAUGAAGCCGGAAUCGCUAGUAAUCGCGGAUCAGCCGCCGCGGUAAUACGUUCCCGGGCCUUGUACACACCGCCCGU